rnacentral:misc_RNA from 3 species
AACGCACCUUGCGCCCUUUGGCUAUUCCGAAGGGCAUGCCUGUUUGAGCAUCAUAAACAUCUCAACUCUCAUGGUUUCCCGUGAUGAGAUUGGACUUUGGGGGUCUUGUUGGCUUGUGUUCAGCUCCCCUCAAAUCUAUCAGCUUCCCAGUGUUUGGCGGCGUCACAGGUGUGAUAAAUAUCUACGCUUGUGGUUCUUUGCCAGGUCUGUCCUCUCCUUGUGGAGGGCUCGCUGGAGCUUAUAGAUGUCUCUCCUUGGUGGAGACAGCUGUUUGAAGUUUGGUCUCAAAUCAGGUAGGAUUACCCGCUGAACUUAA